AACAAUACAAAAAAGGAGCUGGACAGACACAGUUGAGUUUGCCCUCUUGCUGCACCCCUGCCUUUUACUAUAAGAACAACAUGCCUUGUAUAAAAGACAAAUUGUGCGAGGCAGAUGAAAGACACAUGGAGCAGCCCUAGACAUUAUCAUUGGCUUGGAGUUGAUACCACGCAAGCCAACUUAAUUAGUCAAACCUCAAUCAUCCGCAGAAAGGUGAGCAAGAAAUAAAUGCCUUUUGUUCAUAAGCCACUGAGUUUUGGAAUAAUUUGCAUGGUAUGAUUAUAACAACAGCCAAAUGAUAUAGUCACUAGCUCACUCUACUCAUUCCUAUACCAACCACCGAGGCAGGAGGUUGGAAUAAAUUGGGUAAAUCCAGACUAUGGAGUCUGCUACUGGAACCCAGUGCUGGAUCUGGCUGGCCUUUGGAAUAAAGGGUAAAAGUGUAAAGAAAUAACACUGCCACUGAGAGGAGAUUGUGAUGAGCAGAAAUGACGGCUGUCUCCUGCAUCCACCAUCACUAAAACUUACUUUUAAGUGAUGGAUCAUAUCAAGGUGCCACACCUUCCAUUCUGAGCCAUUAGAGUAACUGACAACCUGACAGUAUGUGGCAAACUGAUCAAUGAAAGGGAAUUGAAAGGGGAGAAAAACAACCCUCCGAGACUAUGUCUUAUCUUGCAUCCUAGUGCCCAGAACAGAGCAAGUUGGGGGACUUGUUACCAUUGUGCUCUUUGGGAAAACCCUCAAAUGUUGGGUUUGGUUGUGAGCAUCAUAUUUCAAGAGGCACAUUGCUAAAUCAAAACUUGUCAAGAGCAAUGCAGACAUGCUAAAAAGAAAAAGUGGUUGUCUUAUUGGCAAGGCAGAUGUUGAAGUGAGAAUCAGGGUCAGCAAAAGCACAGAUGACAAUUAUUUCUAAUAUCAUAAAGACUGGUGUAUGGAAGAGAGAUUUUUCUUAGUCUGCAUUCCUCCAGAGGCAAACUCUUCUGACAUGCAGAAAUGUGUUAUUUCUGAAAGCAUAUGGGCUUUGGGACUGCAAAGAUAAAAUCUAAUUCCAAUUCUGUUCUUCUACUUUUUAGUGGUAUGUGCUUACUAAAAAAUUCCCUGUCAAUGUCUGCGGCUGCCUCAUCUGCAAAAGCAAUGUGCUCCAAAGAGUCCUUGGCAGAAGAUGACCUAUAAGCACUCUGGAUGCUUCACAGAAUUGGAAGAACCUAAGCUCAACAGUAAGAAGUCCAAUGUUUGGGGAGAAUUGACUUUUGUUUUAAGGUACCAAGGAUUAAAUUCAGGGACAUUCAACCGCUGA